rnacentral:lncRNA from 1 species
AUAGAUGUGCACGUGUGUGCUGGGGGAAGGAUGUUCAAAUAAAUAAUCUGUAGUCAGCACAAGAAAUUGACCACUAAUUGGAAAACACAGAUGCUUUACAUAUUAUAUAAAUAAUUUAUUUUUCUCCUUCAACUGGUUCUACAGUAUCUGGGAAGGACCUCUGACGAUCCUAAACUCCUUCUGUGUGGCAAGGCUCUGUGUUAGGUGCAUGGGCCAUGGAGUGGAUGUGCAGUCCAGACCCACCUUCUUAUAGGGUCUAUUGGACAAGAAGAUAAGAACAUCAAAAUGAUAUAAAGAAUAUAUAAUAUACCAAAAUACACUCUAAUGUCAUUAUAUGUAAAAAGAACAAAUAAAAAAAUAUACAGAGAGAAGAAUAGCAAUGGUAUUAUACCCAGGUAUUCUAGGGACACAGACCAAAAUCAGAGUGGGAAAUGAUGAAAUUUUCAUGUGUAAUUUCUGGGACAUCUUGUUAGAAGAAAGAAAACCCAAUCCAAACUAAAAAACAAAAAUGCUUCUUUGGUCAGAAAUCUCUACAGUAAGACUUGAAUGCUAGUCAAUGGUGGCAAAGUACAGAAGAGCAAAGAUGACCAUCUUCAUGGAAGAUUCCCUCCACACUCUUAGCAGAAGUUUCACUGAAUGGUACAGUAAAUGCUAUUCUUUCUCUACUUCUAUAGUCCAUCAGGGUUCACAGUUGAGUUGUGAACAUCAGGAUCAGUUGGGUUUUCACGCUGAAGAAUACAAGCCUUUUAUACUUAUAGGGGCCAGUUAGUGUUGAGAUGUCUUUCCUAUGGCACAUCAUUUGGAUUGUUCUGAUCUAGCCCUUAUGAUUACUGUCAUGUGACACACAUAUAGUUUCAUCCUGUUCUUCUCUAAUUCAGCUUUGAUUCCUGCCUUUGCCCUGAGCCUCUAAAUCUUGUUCUUCAAUGCUAGUCCUAAGAUGCAGGAUAAAGCCACCUGCUAUAUCUUCUCCGAACUCUUUGCUCACCUGUUUGACUAGAACUUCUGCACCUGAAACAUAAUCAUCUUAUAUAAAGACACCCACCAGGCAUUUACUACUGUUUGCUUGUUUCAGAUUCAAGAAGCGUUGACACAUGGUUGGAAUCCAAGCUCUAGUAUCCAGUUGCCAGAUACUGACUGGAUCAGUUACUGAUUCUGUUUGACUUUGCAAAUUACCCCAAGUUCAUACACUCCAGUAAUAUGAAGACGAUAAUGAUAGUUUCUAUGCAAUGAAUUGCUACAAGGAUUAAACACAUGCAAAAUAUGCAAAACUGCAUUUGGCACAUAGUGACUAUAGCUUUGUUUCCUGAUCAUCAAUUUUGCUGCUGAUCUAGAAUUUCCUAAGAGCUUAAAGGGCAAGAGGGAUUCUGUCCCCAUUUAUUGCAACUCACUCAUGCCUAUUAAUUUUGAUUAUACGUUACAAUACAGUCUAAUAUUUAAGGAUACGUAUAUUUUUAAAAAGGAGCUCUGUGACUUUUAUUAUAGUGUUAACAUUAUUUUUUAUAAAUUCUUUUUAAAAGGACUUUAAAUGUCAAGAAAUACAAUGAACAGUAUUCCAUGAAUUUUGAAUCUCAAGCAUUCAUGAAUCAGGAACAAAUAUUGGUUAAGGGUCCCAACAGGCAUGUGGUCCCUGAGGUAGGGGCACGUGCUCCCUCUGAGAUUUCUAUAACUUUGGAAUAUUUUGUUGAGUGAAAAUCAAGAAGUGUGUAAAUGUUCUAAUAUUCACCUUUUGUAUAAUGCUCUCUCAGCUAACACUUGGGUAAUAUUCCUCCUGUCAAGUGCAGAAAGAGCAGGUUGGGUUGACAGGGAAAGGACAACCUUUAACAGGAAUACAAAUGAAAAGAAGAAAUAUAAUGUGGGUGGUAAUUGAAUGAUGAACUAGAUCUUUAUAAAGAGCCUUCACUUUGUCAAAAGAUAAUAGGUGUCGUUUAGUGCUUUGUAAUUGCUUCUCAUUAAAAAAUUGCAAAAGAAUUGUCAAGUGAAAAUGUAAGAUCUUUUAUUAUCUCAAAAUAUUAAGUUGCUAAAGUUAGAAACCCAUAAAUUUCUUUUUCUUAAAUAUUUUCCUAAAAUCUCCCCUAUAGAAC